rnacentral:lncRNA from 1 species
AGGAGGGGGGAGCCGAGGGGGUGGGGAAGAGUUCGUUGUUUGUUUACACGAUGUGAGCGGAAAGAGAGACCAAUAAAGUUUAUUCUGGAAACAAAA